rnacentral:rRNA from 1 species
UUUGAUCCUGGCUCAGAUUGAACGCUGGCGGCAUGCCUUACACAUGCAAGUCGAACGGCAGCACGGGAGCAAUCCUGGUGGCGAGUGGCGAACGGGUGAGUAAUACAUCGGAACGUGCCCAAUCGUGGGGGAUAACGCAGCGAAAGCUGUGCUAAUACCGCAUAAGAUCUACGGAUGAAAGCAGGGGAUCGCAAGACCUUGCGCGAAUGGAGCGGCCGAUGGCAGAUUAGGUAGUUGGUGAGGUAAAGGCUCACCAAGCCUUCGAUCUGUAGCUGGUCUGAGAGGACGACCAGCCACACUGGGACUGAGACACGGCCCAGACUCCUACGGGAGGCAGCAGUGGGGAAUUUUGGACAAUGGGCGCAAGCCUGAUCCAGCCAUGCCGCGUGCAGGAUGAAGGCCUUCGGGUUGUAAACUGCUUUUGUACGGAACGAAACGGCUCUUUCUAAUAAAGAGGGCUAAUGACGGUACCGUAAGAAUAAGCACCGGCUAACUACGUGCCAGCAGCCGCGGUAAUACGUAGGGUGCAAGCGUUAAUCGGAAUUACUGGGCGUAAAGCGUGCGCAGGCGGUGAUGUAAGACAGUUGUGAAAUCCCCGGGCUCAACCUGGGAACUGCAUCUGUGACUGCAUCGCUGGAGUGCGGCAGAGGGGGAUGGAAUUCCGCGUGUAGCAGUGAAAUGCGUAGAUAUGCGGAGGAACACCGAUGGCGAAGGCAAUCCCCUGGGCCUGCACUAACGCUCAUGCACGAAAGCGCGGGGAGCAAACAGGAUUAGAUACCCUGGUAGUCCACGCCCUAAACGAUGUCAACUGGUUGUUGGGUCUUCACUGACUCAGUAACGAAGCUAACGCGUGAAGUUGACCGCCUGGGGAGUACGGCCGCAAGGUUGAGACUCAAAGGAAUUGACGGGGACCCGCACAAGCGGUGGAUGAUGUGGUUUAAUUCGAUGCAACGCGAAAAACCUUACCCACCUUUGACAUGUACGGAAUUUGCCAGAGAUGGCUUAGUGCUCGAAAGAGAACCGUAACACAGGUGCUGCAUGGCCGUCGUCAGCUCGUGUCGUGAGAUGUUGGGUUAAGUCCCGCAACGAGCGCAACCCUUGUCAUUAGUUGCUACAUUUAGUUGGGCACUCUAGUGAGACUGCCGGUGACAAACCGGAGGAAGGUGGGGAUGACGUCAAGUCCUCAUGGCCCUUAUAGGUGGGGCUACACACGUCAUACAAUGGCUGGUACAAAGGGUUGCCAACCCGCGAGGGGGAGCUAAUCCCAUAAAACCAGUCGUAGUCCGGAUCGCAGUCUGCAACUCGACUGCGUGAAGUCGGAAUCGCUAGUAAUCGUGGAUCAGAAUGUCACGGUGAAUACGUUCCCGGGUCUUGUACACACCGCCCGUCACACCAUGGGAGCGGGUUCUGCCAGAAGUAGUUAGCCUAACCGCAA